UAAUACAGAGGGCGCGAGCGUUGUCCGGAAUCACUGGGCGUAAAGGGCGCGUAGGUGGCAACACAAGCGUGCGGUGAAAGCCCGGGGCUCAACCCCGGGUCGGCCGUGCGAACUGUGUGGCUCGAGCAUGGUAGAGGCGGGUGGAAUUCCGGGUGUAGCGGUGGAAUGCGUAGAGAUCCGGAAGAACACCGGUGGCGAAGGCGGCCCGCUGGGCCAUGGCUGACACUGAGGCGCGACAGCGUGGGGAGCAAACAGGAUUAGAUACCCUGGUAGUCCACGCCGUAAACGAUGGGCACUAGGUGCUUGGGGGAGCGACCCCCUGGGUGCCGGCGCUAACGCAUGAAGUGCCCCGCCUGGGGAGUACGGCCGCAAGGCUG
rnacentral:rRNA from 1 species